UCUACUGAUAUGUGAUCCAUAUAUAUUUGUAUCUGCAAAAGUAUAUUAUAUAUACAUGUGUAUGGCGUAACCUAACCCCGUUCAUGUUGCAUGCAACACAACGAAGGCAGAGCGUAUGUGCUGGGACCAGAAAGAUGGUGAACUAUACUUGAGCAGGAUGAAGCUAGAGGAAACUCUGUUGAAUGACCGAAGCGAUUCUGACGUGGAAAUCGAUUGUCUGACUCUGAUAUUGGGGCGAAAGUAAUAGCUGGUUUCCUCUGAAGUUUCCCUUAGGAUAGCUGGAGUACACAGAUAAAGCAGUUAUAUUCGGUAAAGCGAAUGAUUAGAGGAAUUGUGUGACGAAACGUCUUCAACCUAUUCUCAAACUUUCAAUGAGUAUGACGUCUUGCUUGCUUAAAUUUUUUAUGAAGCACAGACAUUUAAUGUGUGCGCCAAGUGGGCCAUUUUUGGUAAGCAGAACUGGCGCUGUGGGAAUAAAUCGCAAGACAAAUGAGUGUGAUCACUAAGAGUGUGAUGAAACUUUUUUUGUUUUACACAAAAGUUACCAAAA
rnacentral:ncRNA from 1 species